AUCGCUUCUCGGCCUUUUGGCUAAGAUCAAAGUGUAGUAUCUGUUCUUAUCAGCUUAAUAUCUGAUACGGCUUCCAUCGGAGGCCAUGAUAUUAAACUGAUUUUUGGAAGGCGGCGGAGUGCUCGGAGCUUGCUCCACCUCUGCCACGGGUUGACCCGGUAUUGCAGUACCUCCGGGAAUGGCCCACUCCCC
rnacentral:snRNA from 1 species